rnacentral:tRNA from 1 species
GCGGCUUUAGCUCACUUGGGAGAGCGCCAGACUGAAGCCAACUUCAGACAGCUGUAUCUGGAGGCACUGUGUUCGAUCCACAGAAGCCGCA